UUGAGCCGUAUGACGCGAAAGUGUCACGUACGGUUCUUAGAGGAGUCUGCCGCAGCAAUGCGGUAGGCUUACUCGAC
rnacentral:ncRNA from 1 species